rnacentral:rRNA from 1 species
UACGGGGGGGGUAAGCGUUGUUCGGAAUUACUGGGCGUAAAGGGCUCGUAGGCGGCCAACUAAGUCGGACGUGAAAUCCCCAGGCUCAACCUGGGAACUGCGUCCGAUACUGGAUGGCUUGAAUCCGGGAGAGGGAUGCAGAAUUCCAGGUGUAGCGGUGAAAUGCGUAGAUAUCUGGAGGAAUACCGGUGGCGAAGGCGGCAUCCUGGACCAAUACUGACGCUGAGGAGCGAAAGCCAGGGGAGCAAACGGG